UGUAAGCGUAUACCAAAGUUGUUGCAGUUAAAACGCUCGUAGUCGGAUUUCGGCGGUUCCGGAAGUGUGCCGCGUCGUGCGGCCGCUUUGCAGGGACUGCUUUUGUGGGUGUGCGUCAGAUGAGGGCUGUUAAUUCGGUAACGUCUGUACGCAACCACUUUUUACUGUGAGAAAAUCAGAGUGCCCAAAGCACGCAUUUGCCGUGAAUGUAUUAGCAUGGAAUAAUAGAAUAGGACUUGGUUCUAUUUUGUUGGUUUGUUGGGACUGAGUAAUGAUUAAGAGGGACAGUUGGGGGCAUUUGUAUUUCGGUGCUAGAGGUGAAGUUCUUAGAUUACCGAAAGACAAACUGCUGCGAAAGCGUCUGCCAAGGAUGUUUUCAUUGA
rnacentral:rRNA from 1 species